AACAUAGCAAAAUUGAUGUAAAUAGCAAAAUAGCAUAAAAGUAUAAACAGUUGAACAAAGUUGAAUAAGCAAAACAGUAAAAAUAGCAUAAGCAAAACAGUAAAAAUAGCAUAAGCAAAACAGUAAAAUAGCAUAAAAGCAUAAACAGUUGAACAAAGUUGAAUAAGCGAAACAGUAAAAAUAGUAUAAAAGCGUAAACAGUUGCAAAAAGCUAAAUAAGCAAAACAGUGAAAAGCUUAAAAAGUGAAACAUUUUCAUAGCAGAAUAGUUUCCACGGCAGAAAGUGCAGUGAAAUUUCAGCGUCUGAAGCGGGGAUCGAACCGGGAACCUUGGCAUUGGGAAAGCUCCCAUAGGAUCCCAUUCAUUUUUUAAUUCAUAAAAAAAUCAUAUAAAAUCAUACAAGCAUAAGCAUCAAAAAGUUGUAUACAUCCCGGAAUGUCCUGAAUGAGCUGAACAUUUUGAUAUCUGAAUGGUUUAAAUAGCACAAAGCGUGCGGGACUAGUUAGGGACCGAAAAACGUACGGAAGAAUAAUAAGAAGUGGCCAAAAGUUUACGGAAAUAGAAUGCUCAGCAUUCACACUAACUACAGUCACUAAAAUACCACUUUCCACCGAUAAUUCUUGUGCCAGAUCAGAGGCAGUUACUAGCCUGCUUUUCAAUGCAAAGUUGGGUCAACAGUGAAUUGUGCAUGACUCGGUUUUUAAGGACAGUCACUCCGCCUUCUGUUAGUGGUACUUCGGCCUUUCCCAUGCCUACUAACCACUACUGCAACACGGGGCCUGUGGGCGCGGUUGUGGACGGGGGAAGGGAGGACUACCGUAAAUUACGUAGCUAUUAUUAUAUAGCGUAACUAUCACAAAUGUUGCCAGAAGGUUAGCAACCCUCAUACACAUUGUACUUUAAGCAAGUGCCGUAAAGCUCUCUGUGCUAAUUUGAUAGGAAUAAUAAACAUAUUAGCUCGCUGUAUAUAGUUCGCUUCAGUACUUCCCACCAGCAAAUGCAUGAAUGACAUCGGUCGCUUCCCAGUGACAACUUCCACUACUGGCUGUGUUUAGCAAACACAAGCUAACGAAGGUAGAAGGAUGAAUUAGAUGAGACCAUCCAUGUGUGGGAUUCACAUGUCAUCAGACCAUUGAAGAAUGACAGGGUACCCAGUGGCCGACCUCGAAUCAUGUACAUGUUCCCAGAACUCUACACAAGUGAUGAUCGCAUUUCUCCAGUGGACAGAGCUGAUGUGCAGCUGUGUCAGAGUAACUGCACAUUUCGACCAGCAGUGUCAUGUGACACAGACAUCUACAACAUCUGCAACAUUCUGAUGGUGGAGUCACAGCUGCAUCUUCCAGCUGAUUAUCAGUUAUCAAGCAUUGGAUUUGUACCUGCAUUUGAGGAAUGAGAUAAGAUCCGCUCUCUAAUUUGAGAUGGAACUACAUUUGUAUUCAUCUAAACUGACCACACGUGAUCAGUAAAGUUCUUCUGCAGUCCACCAUGCUUUAUUCACCAAACAUUCUCAGUUGUAAAGUUUUCCCAGGAACUAUGUAGAAGCUAUAUUUUGAAUUUUGGAUUAUUUCUCAUUGGAAAAAGGAUUGAUCUGUCACUAUGUGCACACUGACUGUUACAGACAUUAAGAACAUUUGCAGCGAUAUUGUGCACACAGUUUUUCAAGAUAAUGAAGCCUGUGCUUCAUUGAAUAAGUCUGUGAUUACCUGGGAUUUUUCAAAUGACAGAGUAUUAGCUCUUCUCAGUAAUUUGUGCUGGAAUUAGAGACUUAAAUUUGUUGUACAGCAUAUAGGAGUAUUGUCAUAGAUGUUACUUUCCCUUUACAUCAGUCAUGAACAGGAAACGAACAAAAUCACAACAAAGAAAAACAACAUGGCAGGACAUGAAAGAGGAAUUACAUUUUUAUUCAACAAUAUUGUGCUCUUGACAGUUACUGUCUGUAUGUUUACCAUAUGAACCUCCAACAAAAACAGCCAUGGGUAGCCAUUAGAAAUGGUACUGUAUGUGCAUCGAACAGGUAUUAUUUUGUUGAAUGCUGAACUUCUUAUUUAAUAACAUUUGCAUACAUCAUGCACAUGAUAAUAUGAAAAUGAAAAGUGAUGUUCACCCAUGAGAACAGACUUUUCUGACUUAUCAAAAUGAUUAAACUGUCUUCUGGACUUAAACAAAAUGUAAAACUCAGUGUGCUGACAAAUAUUACAGCAAAAUCAUUAACAAUAAUAAAAUAACAAAACCAAAGCAAAACAAUGUCACAACUGUUUUUUCAGUUUAAAGUGUAAUAAAAGCAAUAUCAUCA